rnacentral:lncRNA from 10 species
GUGGCUGCUGUGGUGGAUGGGGGUGUGGUUCUUAGGCCAAUGGAGUUAUGUUCCCAGGGAGAUUAUGACUACCUCUGCUGCGUCAUGCAGGUAGCCAGAAAAGUGAGGGAAAACUGGCAGUUACAGGUCUCACCCAGCUCCCGCACAGCCCAAAGGGCUGUUCUCACUCCCACCGUGGCCCUCCCUGAAACAGCACCAAGUUUGUUUCCAGACAGCGGCUGAGCAGGGCUGAGAGCUUUCCUCAGUCUACCAGCCUUCCAGCUGAUAAAGCAAGCAGGGCUUCCAGGUUUCAUGUCUCCCUGCCUGCCACAGCUUCUGUGCUUUGUCUGCACUCCCAAUUCACCCCUUCCUCUGGGUUCUGUCCAGGAAACUUCAUGCUUGGUCAAAAUUGUUACAAAGUUCAGCUGGAAGUUUCCUUCUCCCUGUGUUUUUUUCCCAAUUCCUCUGGCAGCCCUCCCCAAGGACUCCUGUGAGACAAAGUCAGAAAUGACUUCCCUGGGGACUGAGAGAGACAACAGGGCUCUUCUCGAUGCUUCUUCUACCCCUGUAUUUUGCUCAGCUCUCUGAAGUUAUCUCAGUUCCAGUUCUGGAGGUCAGUAAGUCCAAUAUCAAGGUGCCAGCAUCAGGCAUUAUGGCCAGCACACUUCCUGCGAAUUUGUACCACCACCCCUUAUCUCAUCUAUGCUUCUGCUCACAGCACUGCACUGGAGCCAGGGGAUGGAUACCUGGCACUUGUAUGUCCUAUGAAGAAAGAGAGGAGGAUACAUUGCUUCCCUAUGUAUCCUUAAGGGAUAGACCAGAGGAAAAGUUAAGUAAUAGAUAAACAAUCAAUAAUACCUAAUUGGUUUCCCAAUCAAUUAGCACUUACUGUGUUGGAUUUGUUCACUUUCAGCCAUAGUUACACCUUGAAUUUCUGUAUUUCCAAAGUGGGCUCUUUUUUUUCUAAGGAAUUUCCUCAAUUUUUUCGUGUAAGUAGGCUUCUGAGGAGUCUAUUUCACUGAUUUUUGUGAUAUAUUUAAUCAUUCCAGGGCUACAAAAUUUAAGCUGAAUUUAAAUUAUUCAUAAUAUAACAAUCUCUCUUCCUCUGUCUCUCUUUCUUUCUAUAUCUUUCAUUACAUAUAUGUAAUAAAAUAUUUUCAUUAUAUAUCUGUAUAUCUUUUAUAGAAAUCUUUUCAUUAUAUAUUUCAUAUAUAUUCAUGUAUCUUUCAUACAUU